GCCUACGGGGCGCAGCAGUAGGGAAUCUUCCACAAUGGGCGAAAGCCUGAUGGAGCAACGCCGCGUGGGUGAAGAAGGUCUUCGGAUCGUAAAACCCUGUUGUUAGAGAAGAAAGUGCGUGAGAGUAACUGUUCACGUUUCGACGGUAUCUAACCUGAAAGCCACGGCUAACUACGUGCCAGCAGCCGCGGUAAUACGUAGGUGGCAAGCGUUAUCCGGAUUUAUUGGGCGUAAAGAGAACGCAGGCGGUCUUUUAAGUCUGAUGUGAAAGCCUUCGGCUUAACCGGAGUAGUGCAUUGGAAACU
rnacentral:rRNA from 1 species